ACUCCUACGGGAGGCAGCAGUGAGGAAUAUUGGACAAUGGGUGAGAGCCUGAUCCAGCCAUCCCGCGUGAAGGAUGACGGUCCUAUGGAUUGUAAACUUCUUUUGUACAGGGAUAAACCUACUCUCGUGAGGGUAGCUGAAGGUACUGUACGAAUAAGCACCGGCUAACUCCGUGCCAGCAGCCGCGGUAAUACA
rnacentral:rRNA from 1 species